rnacentral:rRNA from 1 species
UGACUGCGUACCUUUUGUAUAAUGGGUCAGCGACUUAUAUUCUGUAGCAAGGUUAACCGAAUAGGGGAGCCGAAGGGAAACCGAGUCUUAACUGGGCGUUAAGUUGCAGGGUAUAGACCCGAAACCCGGUGAUCUAGCCAUGGGCAGGUUGAAGGUUGGGUAACACUAACUGGAGGACCGAACCGACUAAUGUUGAAAAAUUAGCGGAUGACUUGUGGCUGGGGGUGAAAGGCCAAUCAAACCGGGAGAUAGCUGGUUCUCCCCGAAAGCUAUUUAGGUAGCGCCUCGUGAAUUCAUCUCCGGGGGUAGAGCACUGUUUCGGCAAGGGGGUCAUCCCGACUUACCAACCCGAUGCAAACUGCGAAUACCGGAGAAUGUUAUCACGGGAGACACACGGCGGGUGCUAACGUCCGUCGUGAAGAGGGAAACAACCCAGACCGCCAGCUAAGGUCCCAAAGUCAUGGUUAAGUGGGAAACGAUGUGGGAAGGCCCAGACAGCCAGGAUGUUGGCUUAGAAGCAGCCAUCAUUUAAAGAAAGCGUAAUAGCUCACUGGUCGAGUCGGCCUGCGCGGAAGAUGUAACGGGGCUAAACCAUGCACCGAAGCUGCGGCAGCGACACUAUGUGUUGUUGGGUAGGGGAGCGUUCUGUAAGCCUGUGAAGGUGUGCUGUGAGGCAUGCUGGAGGUAUCAGAAGUGCGAAUGCUGACAUAAGUAACGAUAAAGCGGGUGAAAAGCCCGCUCGCCGGAAGACCAAGGGUUCCUGUCCAACGUUAAUCGGGGCAGGGUGAGUCGACCCCUAAGGCGAGGCCGAAAGGCGUAGUCGAUGGGAAACAGGUUAAUAUUCCUGUACUUGGUGUUACUGCGAAGGGGGGACGGAGAAGGCUAUGUUGGCCGGGCGACGGUUGUCCCGGUUUAAGCGUGUAGGCUGGUUUUCCAGGCAAAUCCGGAAAAUCAAGGCUGAGGCGUGAUGACGAGGCACUACGGUGCUGAAGCAACAAAUGCCCUGCUUCCAGGAAAAGCCUCUAAGCAUCAGGUAACAUCAAAUCGUACCCCAAACCGACACAGGUGGUCAGGUAGAGAAUACCAAGGCGCUUGAGAGAACUCGGGUGAAGGAACUAGGCAAAAUGGUGCCGUAACUUCGGGAGAAGGCACGCUGAUAUGUAGGUGAAGCGACUUGCUCGUGGAGCUGAAAUCAGUCGAAGAUACCAGCUGGCUGCAACUGUUUAUUAAAAACACAGCACUGUGCAAACACGAAAGUGGACGUAUACGGUGUGACGCCUGCCCGGUGCCGGAAGGUUAAUUGAUGGGGUCAGCGCAAGCGAAGCUCUUGAUCGAAGCCCCGGUAAACGGCGGCCGUAACUAUAACGGUCCUAAGGUAGCGAAAUUCCUUGUCGGGUAAGUUCCGACCUGCACGAAUGGCGUAAUGAUGGCCAGGCUGUCUCCACCCGAGACUCAGUGAAAUUGAACUCGCUGUGAAGAUGCAGUGUACCCGCGGCAAGACGGAAAGACCCCGUGAACCUUUACUAUAGCUUGACACUGAACAUUGAGCCUUGAUGUGUAGGAUAGGUGGGAGGCUUUGAAGUGUGGACGCCAGUCUGCAUGGAGCCGACCUUGAAAUACCACCCUUUAAUGUUUGAUGUUCUAACGUGGACCCGUGAUCCGGGUUGCGGACAGUGUCUGGUGGGUAGUUUGACUGGGGCGGUCUCCUCCUAAAGAGUAACGGAGGAGCACGAAGGUUGGCUAAUCCUGGUCGGACAUCAGGAGGUUAGUGCAAUGGCAUAAGCCAGCUUGACUGCGAGCGUGACGGCGCGAGCAGGUGCGAAAGCAGGUCAUAGUGAUCCGGUGGUUCUGAAUGGAAGGGCCAUCGCUCAACGGAUAAAAGGUACUCCGGGGAUAACAGGCUGAUACCGCCCAAGAGUUCAUAUCGACGGCGGUGUUUGGCACCUCGAUGUCGGCUCAUCACAUCCUGGGGCUGAAGUAGGUCCCAAGGGUAUGGCUGUUCGCCAUUUAAAGUGGUACGCGAGCUGGGUUUAGAACGUCGUGAGACAGUUCGGUCCCUAUCUGCCGUGGGCGCUGGAGAACUGAGGGGGGCUGCUCCUAGUACGAGAGGACCGGAGUGGACGCAUCACUGGUGUUCGGGUUGUCAUGCCAAUGGCACUGCCCGGUAGCUAAAUGCGGAAGAGAUAAGUGCUGAAAGCAUCUAAGCACGAAACUUGCCCCGAGAUGAGUUCU